GCAUGGCUGUCGUCAGCUCGUGUCGUGAGAUGUUGGGUUAAGUCCCGCAACGAGCGCAACCCACGUCGUUAGUUGCCAGCAUUCAGUUGGGCACUCUAGCGAGACCGCCGGUGAUAAACCGGAGGAAGGUGUGGAUGACGUCAAGUCAUCAUGCCCCUUACAUCCUGGGCUACACACGUACUACAAUGCUACGGACAAAGGGCCGCAAGCUCGCGAGAGUUAGCAAAUCCCAUAAACCGUGGCUCAGUUCAGAUCGUAGGCUGCAACUCGCCUACGUGAAGGAGGAAUCGCUAGUAACCGCAGGUCAGCAUACUGCGGUGAAUACGUUCCCGGGCCUUGUACACACCGCCCGUCACACCAUGGAAGUGGCCACG
rnacentral:rRNA from 1 species